AAGCCCCCGGCUCCUCCAGAAGCCCCUCUUCGCACAUGCGCAAACUGCGGACGGGGAACUGGGCUCCCUAGCCCUGGCGUUUUUGGUGUUGCUGUCCCAGCCAGAAUCGCGUCUGGCCGGUGGGAAGCCGGGAACUCCAGCCCCCUGUAGGAGAGGAGAAAGGAGCGAGAAACUCAAAGAAACAUUAAGCUGGCAAGUACUGAAAACAGAGAACUGUUUGUGGAAAACAUUGGUGCAUAACAGGACAUGCAUAGCAGGACAAGAAUCAGAUUGUGUCUGUGUAAUGCCAAGAAGAGUUGCCAGAAGUACUUAUCAUCUUUGAAAUUAUCCACUUUGUUAUCCCCUUUGCUGUUUUUGCCU
rnacentral:lncRNA from 1 species